UACGGGGGGAGCAAGCGUUGUUCGGAUUUACUGGGCGUAAAGCGUGCGUAGGUGGUUUGUUAAGUCUGAUGUGAAAGCCCUGGGCUCAACCUGGGAAUUGCAUUGGAUACUGGCAGGCUAGAGUGCGGUAGAGGAUGGCGGAAUUCCCGGUGUAGCAGUGAAAUGCGUAGAGAUCGGGAGGAACAUCUGUGGCGAAGGCGGCCAUCUGGACCAGCACUGACACUGAGGCACGAAAGCGUGGGGAGCAAACAGG
rnacentral:rRNA from 1 species